GCGAGGCCAGGGAUUGAACCCACAUCCUCAUGGAUACUAGUCAGCUUUGUAACCCACUGAGCCACAACAGGAACUCCUGUGAUAAACUUUUAUAUGACUGUAGGGAUAUGCUAUAAGUUUUGAGGUUAUUUCUUGUAAUAUUUUGUACAUUGCACAUUUUUAGGUUCUUUUUUUUCCUUUUUUUUAUGGAGAAAACUGUUAAAUGACAUUGACCUUUCCAGUUUGGAACAUAACGUUGGGACACUGUAUCUGAUAAAUACAUUAGACCCUGACUUAAAAAAAAAAAAAACUACAUGGCAGUAAAACAGAUGAUUUCUUAAUAAAACCAUAGGUAGGAUAAUAGUCACCCAGAGAAUUAAAUACAAUACAGCUCACAUCUUUAUGGGUUCAAGUUAAUGGUUACAUCUCAUUAUUUUAGGGAUCCAAAAUGAAGCUAUGGAUUUGAAACUUAGCAGAUAUAAAAACAUAACCUGUAUGUGCACAGAGGUUGAUAUUUAUAACCUCUCAAAGUUCAUCGUACAUAAACCAAUGAAAGACAUCCUAAUGAGUUAUUAUCAGUCAGGCCCUGUGACCCUGUUGAAUUGGCUCAAUCAUAUGAAAUAAACUCCAAUCUAUAAAAAAAAAAAAGUUUCACUUAAUAGUGUCCGUAGAGAAGCAGUAAAAGUUACUGCUGUAAUUAAACCUGAACCUUAAGUGAUAUGACACAAAAGGAGAGGUACCCUUAAGGCACCUGCAUCCGGAAGUACAACGUUCAUCUCCAGGAAAAGCACCUGUGCAGCUGAGCUGUGGCUGACGGCUCCUUUCCUCGAGGCCGCCACACCGUUCCUACCUGAAAGAACAGCUGGCCAACCACGGUUCUUCGGCAGAAAAAUCCUCGAAAUGCACAAGAAUGAAGUAUGUCUUGGAAGAUGUCCACAGGCUACAGGAGCAGUGAUGUAAUUCAAACAGCCACUGGGGGCUAUGACACCGUUCACAGGUAAAAGAUUCACAGUGCAAGACGGACUGAUGGGUUUUGGGUGAUAGAGUAUGAAAAGUUGCUUGAUGUAGUUUCAAAUGCCACAUGGUCAUCGAUCUUUAAGAAGCUUAAAGCCAUUCAGAAACAAUGACCUGAUAGGCUAUUAAAACAUUUCCCCCCUCCCUCUUUAACCACAUACCUGUGUGAGGCUGGGUUUUCCUCCUAUGCUUCAAAACGGAGUGUCACAAGACAACGUAGAAGCAGACAUGAGACUCCACCUGUGUUCAGUUAAGCCAGACAUUAAAGAGAUUUGCAAAAAGUAAAACCAUCUCACUCUCGUCACUAAUUUUUUUUUGGGGGGUGGUAUUUGUAAAGGCUUUUUUUUUCUUCCCGUACAAGUAUGUAAUUAAUGUUAAUACAUAAUAGUUUCAUCAUCGCUAUUUUUUCUUUUCUUAAUGGCUGCACCUGUGGCAUAUGGCAGUUCCCAGGUCAGUGACUGACUCUGAGCCACAGCUUCAGUACCGCUGGCUUCUUUAACCCACUGUGCCGGCCCAGGGAGCAAACAUGUGACUCUACAAUGAUUCAAGCUGCUGCAGUUGGGUUCUUAACUCACCGUGCCACAGUGGGAACUCCAUCAUUGCUAUUUCUAAAUAAAUUAAUAUGCAUAUUUUAAAAUCUCAGUUUUGCUCUCUAAUUCAACGUCUACUAAUAGAUGCAGCUCAUAUAAAAGCAGUUGGGGUCCUUAAUAGUUUUUAAGGACUAUCUGAAGCAGUGCCGUCUUAGACUCACAGUCAGUACUGACACAGGGAUACCUGGUGCACCAAGAGGGCUUCAAUGAGGGUUUUCAGAAACUCGCAAGCUGGGAAGCAUGGCAGUCUCUGUCUCUUGAAUCCUCCCAACACCACGCUACCCCUGAGCUUGGUAGCUUGGCAUGGUGCCAUAUCCAGCACAAGUCCCAAGGGACAAUAAAUAAUUAAAAAGGAGCUUUGCCAUGGGUGGGGGGAAAUGAGAACAUUGAUAAAUAAAGCAAAAAAGACUAAGCUAAUGCUAAAGCAAUUCCACUGGCCUGCUUCUUCCUAGAUGCUUUAAAUGGGCUGCAGUGAGGAAAUUUUAUGGAAGAGGAGAAACAAAAGGCAACAAAAGAGACUCACUGAAAACUGAGCUGCAUGUUUGCUCUUUAAGCCUUAAUAGAAUUUUUGCAAGUCCAUUCUUGACAGCAGCUCUCGUUAGGGCAUUAGAAUUAUGAGUAGCAUUGCAGUAACACACCGAGAACUGCCCUCGGGUUUCUCUCUUACCACCGCUUAAUCUGGAAGAAAUAGCUCUUCUCUUAGAAGUCCUAGGUGUGCCUCUCUCUUCUGUCUCUAAAGCGGAGUUGCAUCGGGGUGGAACUUCUAAUAAGCACAACAGCCUCGAAUUUGACAUUGCUGUUCAUACUUAAAAUGAGCGAAUUUUGUUAGUAUCUUUAGGAAAAAGUCACUAAAGCAGCCUAACUAAACUUGAAAAGUGUUUUCUCUACUUCCUGGGAAGUUAGUUUUAAAACCCAGUAAGUAAGUUAGUAACUGUACAUGUGAGUUGCUAACACCCUCAGAUCACAGACUGAAGUGGAAAGCCUAGCUAAUGACCAUGGGCGCUAAACUUCCAGAAAGGGGGCAGGACGCCAGAAUAUUCCCGCUGUGAAUAUGGUAAGGGUAGGCGAUGGACGGAUGUAUGAUUUACCGUUGCUUACUUUUCACAGCAUGAUGGAUAGAGAAGAAGGCUCAGGGAAAAGGAGCCAAAACCAUGCGACACAGUCCUUUUCCGCAGGCCCAUUCAAGUCAGAGGGUCAUGUAUCCAAGAAGCCACCUGCCUUUCCCCGAGGCCGUCUACACGGUCAGCCCUGGGAGUCCAGUGCAACUGAGAAGCUCCUAAUGCAGAAGUCUGGUUUUUAAUGACGGAUCCAACUGGAACUUGAACCAGACCCUAAAUAGCCAACAUGUCUGCAAGAAGAGGCUUUGAGCAGGUGCUUCUGAAAGGUAUAGUCACAACUAGAAAAGAACUACACAGUUUUAUUAGACCUCAGUUUUGUUUUGUUUUUCCUUCCCUAAAGAACUGGCUUAAAAACGGCUGGGGGGUGGGGUGGGGGGGUCAAUAGUAGGUAUUUAUUUGAAAUGAAAAGAAAAAGUACCUGGACUACUGCAUUUAAUCAUGUAUUGUAAUUGUGUUACUCUACCUUUUUGCAUCAGAGACAGAUAUACAAUGAACAUUCAGUUAUCACAGAUUGCACACUAGAUAGUAAUUCUUCAGGCCUUUUACAUUAACCACCAAAGAACAGGUAUUGGAUUCUGCAGUAUAGUACAAAAGUCCACAAUCGAUCCAGUCUUAGCCAGUGUCUUCAAUUUACUUCUGUUGCUGUACAAAUAAUUGGCCAUUACGAGGGCUUACAAGUUAAUAACAGG